GGUGCGUAGGCGGUUUAUUAAGUCAGUGGUGAAAGACGGUCGACUCAACGGAUUGCCAGUGCCAUUGAUACUGGUAGACUUGAGUGGGAUUGAGGUAGCUGGAAUGGAUAGUGUAGCGGUGAAAUGCAUAGAUAUUAUCCAGAACACCAAUUGCGUAGGCAAGUUACUAAGUCUCAACUGACGCUGAGGCACGAAAGUGUGGGUAUCAAACAGGAUUAGAUACCCCUGGU
rnacentral:rRNA from 1 species